rnacentral:tRNA from 1 species
GCGGCGGUGGUCUAGUGGUCAAGACACUGCAUCAAUGGGUCUUGCAAACACAAGCUCGUUACCAAAAUUGUCGUGGUUUGCGUACCGCAAUCACACAGUGGUGAUGGUUCAGAGAUCGUGAGUUCGAAUCUCACUCGCUGCA